GCAGUCGAACGCACUCUCGUUUAGAUUGAAGGAGCUUGCUCCUGAUUGAUAAACAUUUGAGUGAGUGGCGGACGGGUGAGUAACACGUGGGUAACCUGCCCUAAAGUGGGGGAUAACAUUUGGAAACAGAUGCUAAUACCGCAUAAAACCUAACACCGCAUGGUGUAGGGUUGAAAGAUGGUUUCGGCUAUCACUUUAGGAUGGACCCGCGGUGCAUUAGUUAGUUGGUGAGGUAAAGGCUCACCAAGACCGUGAUGCAUAGCCGACCUGAGAGGGUAAUCGGCCACACUGGGACUGAGACACGGCCCAGACUCCUACGGGAGGCAGCAGUAGGGAAUCUUCCACAAUGGACGAAAGUCUGAUGGAGCAACGCCGCGUGAGUGAAGAAGGUUUUCGGAUCGUAAAACUCUGUUGUUGGAGAAGAAUGUAUCUGAUAGUAACUGAUCAGGUAGUGACGGUAUCCAACCAGAAAGCCACGGCUAACUACGUGCCAGCAGCCGCGGUAAUACGUAGGUGGCAAGCGUUGUCCGGAUUUAUUGGGCGUAAAGCGAGCGCAGGCGGUUUCUUAAGUCUGAUGUGAAAGCCUUCGGCUCAACCGAAGAAGUGCAUCGGAAACUGGGAAACUUGAGUGCAGAAGAGGACAGUGGAACUCCAUGUGUAGCGGUGAAAUGCGUAGAUAUAUGGAAGAACACCAGUGGCGAAGGCGGCUGUCUGGUCUGUAACUGACGCUGAGGCUCGAAAGCAUGGGUAGCAAACAGGAUUAGAUACCCUGGUAGUCCAUGCCGUAAACGAUGAGUGCUAGGUGUUGGAGGGUUUCCGCCCUUCAGUGCCGCAGCUAACGCAUUAAGCACUCCGCCUGGGGAGUACGACCGCAAGGUUGAAACUCAAAGGAAUUGACGGGGGCCCGCACAAGCGGUGGA
rnacentral:rRNA from 2 species